CUUAGCUUUUUUUUUUUUGUUUGUUUUGUUUUUGUUUUUUCCAAAGAUCAGUUCCUUAAAAUGGAUGUUCCUGGGAUGUGAAUAAAGAAAAUACGUCUGAAAGGUGCUGACCACAGCAUUCCCUGUAUUUAUACCAUUUGACUAUGGAGAAAAUAACUACAAGGGGUAAUUACACAUUUCAGGGUAGACAUGCUAGCCAUUUCCCUUUUUGCAAUAAAAGCCUCUGAACACAUCACCCCUGUAUAUACACUUCACUCCACUGGGUAUAUUUAUAUGGAAUACUUACAAUUUGUUCUUGGUUUUGUGGUGAACUGGUGGCACCAUUUAAUAUCCAUUGUAAGUUCUGUUCUCCCAUAACUAGGCUGGGCUGCAGGAUAGCCGUGUUGGGAGUUGGGGUGAUGGUUAUGGUGGGAUUAUUAGUUAGGACAGAGUUGGCACCCAGAGGCAGAGUCUGGACCAUGGCUGGCAAGGGCUCAGUAGUACUUUGUGGUGGGGCUGGUGUUGCCACGGCCGAUGCCACCGCCGCUGCUGAUGCAGAAGCCCCAGCAACAACGGAAAGUCCUGGUACGAUGGGCUGCGGUGCCUGGGGAUGCGGAAGAAACUCUUGAUGAUUAGCAGCAAACUGCGCGCUGUGGGGAACAGGCACUUCUGGAGGUUGUAAGAGAGCAGGGGGGUUGCCAAAUGCAGCUUGCUGGGAACCGGGUCCUAGGGAGGGAGCAGGUGGAGGAGCGGACGGAGCUGAGGCUGGCAGCAGAGGCUGGGGUGGCUCGGAGAGGCCAGGCUGCAGUACAAGCGGAAGAGAUAAAGAUGCUGAAUUUCCUGCAGGUGGUGGAACAUCACUGACUGAUUCUGCAUCACCAUUAAAACUUUCAAUCAAGGCAGCUGGCAAGAAAAAGAAAUAGAAACAUAUAUCCAUAUCCCAAGUUUUACAUGAGCCACAAAAACACAGUUAUUAUGGGCUAAACAGGACAGUGACAGUUGGCUGCAGCCAAUUCCUUUACAGCUAGUAGGCUGGCUUUCUGCUUUCAUUUAGUGACACCUCUGGUCAAUGUAACAGGUUUCAUGAUCAACCAUUCUUCCUCAAUGUGAUAAUCUAGUAAAAGUUUUAUGAUUUUAAAAAAAUGUGUACUAAGUUCUUUCUGGAAGAGACUAGGCAUUCUUUUCUGGACAUGACUAUUCAGUAUAGUUUGCGACGACUGUGAAGCUUUAUAGACAGAUUACCGUUCAAACACAAUAGGAUUUAAGCCUGGUUAGUAGGUCCUACCCAUGUAUGAACAGGGCAUCACAUCUAAAGGCAAAGUUCACAGCUCCUACUUAAAGCCAAAAAGAGAUUCUGGAAAAAGAAACCCUUUUCUUCCAGACCCAAGAAAAGUUGCAAGAACAGAUGGAACUGAAAUGAAAGGCCCAUCCUUCUCUGACCCUCCACAGAAGGGCUGAGAUGUGAGCAGAAAGAGUCUGUGUAACCAACCUGUCUGCUGAGGAUCUUCCUGAAUUGCUGAUUCAUCUGAAUUCUGGAACAUCGAUUCAAAGAUGACUGCUGGUGAAAUUGUGCUGAGGUCCUGGCCCUGUGUCUGAUCAAGAGAGACAGAGAUGUGACACUCUCCAUCCUGAGACAAUUCCUCACCACCAGAGAGUAUAUUCAGGGUGGCUGAACUAGAAUGAUUUUUUGGGCAAGAGUGUCAAAGGCAACUGCCUACAGAAGUCCAGGCGAGCAAGAGAAAUGAGUGAAGCUGGAUGUGGCACACCUGAACAGAUGCACCUCAGCUGUCCUCAGGGUUCAGCUGAAUGCUGCCAGGAUCACCAGAGCUCAAGAUGAGGCUGAAAUCUGGAGUUUUAAGGUAUAAAGAUGGAAGAGGACACUCUGUAGAGCAUCUGGCUGACCCUUUGAAAGCCACUCUGAGACCUCUGGGUUCAAGGGCACCUUCUUCCACCAUACCUGAUGGAAAUGAGGCAGAGCUGAAGAAGAGACUAAAGGAUAGGAUGUCUGGUGAGAUUUCUGGCUUCCACCACCACUCCAUUGCAAAGCCAUAGAUUUUGACCCUGAUUUCUCCCCUCUCAAUAUCAAAUAUGUAAAGAAGACAUUUCAA